rnacentral:rRNA from 1 species
GUGCACCAGUCGCGAAACCUCCGCAAUACACGAAAGUGUGACGGGGCCAUCCCGAGUGCCGUCCGCUGAGGACGGCUUUUCCCCAGUGUACACAGCUGGGGGAAUAAGGAGAGGGCAAGCCUGGUGUCAGCCGCCGCGGUAAUACCAGCUCUCCGAGUGGUGGGGACGCUUAUUGGGCCUAAAGCAUCCGUAGCCGGCUGGGCAAGUCCUCCGUUAAAUCCAACGAUUCAAUCGUUGGGCUGCGGGGGAUACUGUCCAGCUUGGGGGCGGGAGAGGCCGACGGUAUUCCCGGGGUAGGGGUGAAAUCCUAUAAUCCCGGGAGGACCACCAGUGGCGAAGGCUGUCGGCUAGAACGCGCCCGACGGUGAGGGAUGAAAGCUGGGGGAGCGAACCGGAUUAGAUACCCCU